rnacentral:tRNA from 1 species
UUAAUUGAAGCCAAAAAAGAGGCUAUCUAUUGUUAAUAGAUUUAAUGAUUUUAUUCCAAUUGAC